rnacentral:tRNA from 1 species
AUUUAUAUAGUUUAAAAUAAAACAUUACACUUUCACUGUAAAAAUAAAGAAAACUUUUAUAAAUA